rnacentral:rRNA from 1 species
AGAGUUUGAUCAUGGCUCAGGAUAAACGCUGGCGGCGUGCCUAACACAUGCAAGUCGAACGCUCUAGAUCACCUAGAGAGUGGCGGACGGGUGAGGAACACGUGGGUCAUCUCCCUUUCGGUGAGGAAUACCGGCGAGAAAUCGCCGACAAUACCGCAUACGUUUGGAAACAAAGAAAGCUUCUUCGGAAGUGCCGGAAG